rnacentral:snoRNA from 1 species
UGAUGGUUGUUUCUCUUACUGCUUGGAGCUCUGGGUAGUGGGAUUUUAGUCCAUCAUACGUCUAAGCUGACUUGUCCUCACUCUGGGCACCAUGGGGAUGAGUUGGCUGUCCGUUAGUGCCUUCUGAAUUUUGUGGAGUCAAACAAUU